rnacentral:tRNA from 1 species
GGUGGCAUAGCCAAGCGGUAAGGCAGGGGCCUGCAAAGCCCCCAUCCUCAGUUCAAAUCUGAGUGCCACCU